GAUGAACGCUUGCGGGAGGCCUAACACAUGCAAGCCGAGCGGUAUUGUUUCUUCGGAAAUGAGAGAGCGGCGUACGGGUGCGGAACACGUGUGCAACCUGCCUUUAUCUGGGGGAUAGCCUUUCGAAAGGAAGAUUAAUACUCCAUAAUAUAUUGAACGGCAUCGUUUAAUAUUGAAAGCUCCGGCGGAUAGAGAUGGGCACGCGCAAGAUUAGCUAGUUGGUGAGGUAACGGCUCACCAAGGCGAUGAUCUUUAGGGGGCCUGAGAGGGUGAUCCCCCACACUGGUACUGAGACACGGACCAGACUCCUACGGGAGGCAGCAGUGAGGAAUAUUGGUCAAUGGGUGCAAGCCUGAACCAGCCAUCCCGCGUGAAGGACGACUGCCCUAUGGGUUGUAAACUUCUUUUGUAUAGGGAUAAACCUACCCUCGUGAGGGUAGCUGAAGGUACUAUACGAAUAAGCACCGGCUAACUCCGUGCCAGCAGCCGCGGUAAUACGGAGGGUGCAAGCGUUAUCCGGAUUUAUUGGGUUUAAAGGGUCCGUAGGCGGACUUAUAAGUCAGUGGUGAAAGCCUGUCGCUUAACGAUAGAACUGCCAUUGAUACUGUAAGUCUUGAGUAUAUUUGAGGUAGCUGGAAUAAGUAGUGUAGCGGUGAAAUGCAUAGAUAUUACUUAGAACACCAAUUGCGAAGGCAGGUUACCAAGAUAUAACUGACGCUGAGGGACGAAAGCGUGGGGAGCGAACAGGAUUAGAUACCCUGGUAGUCCACGCCGUAAACGAUGCUAACUCGUUUUUGGGCUUUAGGGUUCAGAGACCGAGCGAAAGUGAUAAGUUAGCCACCUGGGGAGUACGCUCGCAAGAGUGAGACUCAAAGGAAUUGACGGGGGCCCGCACAAGCGGUGGAUUAUGUGGUUUAAUUCGAUGAUACGCGAGGAACCUUACCAAGACUUAAAUGGGAAUUGACAGCUUUAGAAAUAGAGCUUUCUUCGGACAAUUUUCAAGGUGCUGCAUGGUUGUCGUCAGCUCGUGCCGUGAGGUGUUAGGUUAAGUCCUGCAACGAGCGCAACCCCUGUCACUAGUUGCCAUCAUUCAGUUGGGGACUCUAGUGAGACUGCCUACGCAAGUAGAGAGGAAGGUGGGGAUGACGUCAAAUCAUCACGGCCCUUACGUCUUGGGCCACACACGUAAUACAAUGGCCGGUACAGAGGGCAGCUACACAGCGAUGUGAUGCAAAUCUCGAAAGCCGGUCUCAGUUCGGAUUGGAGUCUGCAACUCGACUCUAUGAAGCUGGAAUCGCUAGUAAUCGCGCAUCAGCCAUGGCGCGGUGAAUACGUUCCCGGGCCU
rnacentral:rRNA from 1 species